GUGGGAGUCGUCUAGUGGUUAUGGUAUCUGCUUUACAUUCACACGUGUAUUGCGCAGAAGGGCCCCGGUUCAAUACCGAGCUUCCGUA